ensembl:snRNA U6 U6 spliceosomal RNA
GUGUUCGCUUUGGUAACAUAUAUGCUAAAAUUAGAAUGAUACAGAGAAGAUUAGCAAGGGCCCUGCACAAGGAUGACACACAAAUUUGUGAAUAGAGAGAAAUCAUA